CCGCUUGCCACUUUGUGGUUCAUGACUGGGGUGAAGUCGUCACGAGGUAGCGCUAGGGGAACCUGGCGCUGGAUCACCUCCUUC
rnacentral:rRNA from 1 species